GACGAACGCUGGCGGCGUGCUUAACACAUGCAAGUCGAACGAUGAAGAAAAGAAUCGAAGCUUCGGCAGAAAUUCAUUUCGGAUUAGUGGCAGACGGGUGAGUAACGCGUGAGCAACCUACCUCUUACAAAGGGAUAGCCUCGGGAAACCGGGAUUAAUACCAUAUAACAUUGCGACGAAGCAUUUCGAUGCAAUCAAAGCUACGGCGGUAAGAGAUGGGCUCGCGUCCCAUUAACCGGAUGGUGAGGUAACGGCUCACCAUAGUGACGAUGGGUAACCGGCCUGAGAGGGUGAACGGUCACACUGGAACUGAGACACGGUCCAGACUCCUACGGGAGGCAGCAGUGGGGAAUAUUGCACAAUGGAGGGAACUCUGAUGCAGCGACGCCGCGUGAGUGAUGAAGGAAUUCGUUUCGUAAAACUCUGUUCUAUGGGAAGAAAAGGACUGUACCAUAGGAGAAAGCGCCGGCUAAAUACGUG
rnacentral:rRNA from 1 species